UACAGAGGGCUCGAGCGUUGUUCGGAUUCAUUGGGCGUAAAGGGCGCGUAGGCUGCGGGGCAAGUCGGGUGUGAAAUCUCAGAGCUCAACUCUGAAACUGCACUCGAUACUGCUUUGCUUGAGGACUGGAGAGGAGAUUGGAAUUCACGGUGUAGCAGUGAAAUGCGUAGAUAUCGUGAGGAAGACCAGUGGCGAAGGCGGAUCUCUGGACAGUUCCUGACGCUGAGGCGCGAAGGCCAGGGGAGCAAACGGG
rnacentral:rRNA from 1 species